UGCCUCAGCGUCGGAA
rnacentral:rRNA from 1 species